GCUGGGUGUGGUGGUGGGUGCCUGUAAUCCCAGCUACUCGGGAGGCUGAGGCAGGAGAAUCACUUGGACCCGGGAGGUGGAGGUUGCAGUGAGCGAAGAUUGCGCCACUGCACUCCAGCCUGGGUGACAGAGCGAGACCCUGUCUCAA
ensembl:misc_RNA Metazoa_SRP Metazoan signal recognition particle RNA